GGAGUCGCGUUCGGGUUUAAUCACUUUUCUCUUGUAGCGGCCGACCUCGCGUGUUUUAAACACAACAUACCGUUUCGUUAGUCGCAGUAAUUGUUAAUAUGGAAUAUAAUAUUUUGUUUUCUGCUCUAAAUAGUGAUAAUAAUACUAAUUCCCUCGCUGGGAGCCAUUCUCCUCUGCCUCGAGUUCCCGAUGUCGAGGCGUCGGGCCUGGAAUGGUUCGACGUUAGUCUUGGAUUAGGGGCAGUGCAAAACACAGAUCAAGGUGUGCCUUCAUCACCUUUCAUUGGAGCCACUCUGAGUGUCUUCAGUUCACCACUUACCAAUUUCACAGUGCCUUCCACACCGGUUUACUUUGCAAUGGAAAAACUCUUCAAACUGGAAGAGCCUUCAACAGGAGACAGACGGGUGAAUGAGGGGACAGCGCCUCCUCCAGUUGCCCAGGUUGUACCCUCACCAGAGAAGAGGACUGGGAAGACAAAAAGAAACGUCUUGGAAAGUGGCCUGAAAAACACGAAGAGGGACUGAAUUGCUCUGCAAAGCGCUGCAGUAUCACGAGAUCCACUGGUGCAUUGCUGUCCUGGAGUAAAGGGUCGCCGGGUCUAACAGCAGCAAUACAUUCAGCGCUGGCGGUUUUACAGAACACACACAGACGGGAAGUGAUUGAAAACUAUUACAUUGAUUAAACAGGGAGAAGGCGAGCUUAAAAAUCACACUCCGUCACACCCCGGGACUGCGAUCAAUCAAACGUCACAGGAAAGAAAUGUAAAUCACGCAAGGGCUCAGGAUAUCGCCGGUGAUCACAGUCCCCAUGCAUCCCCUUAGCUUGCUGUUUUAGUCUCAAGUGCCAGAGAGCAGGGCUGUGCAAUCUGAGCGCUGCCACUGCCCCGACUUGAGAGUGGCUUACCUGGAGUUGUUGUUCUUCCCGGGGCUGUGGAGCAGGGUGCUGCUCUCCAUCGGGAUCUCGACUGGCUUGUCCUCUGGUGCCACCUCCAACAUCUUUGCAGAUUCCUGAGAAACAAACGUCAAGCAACUGGCACACUUCAACUAGGUCUAGUCGGGUCUCAAACUCUAUCGGAAGGAUUCAGCCUCUCCAUUCCUCCGUUUCUCAGGGUGAAGCUUGAGCGCAAGGCCAACGCCACUUACAUCUACACGACUGCUGGAGAAAACGAUCCUCUUUCCAAAAUAAUUUCGUCAGGACUGCUUGGCCUGCUGCUCGUCUCAGAUUUGUUUUCAAACUUGUUUGUAAUCUUCUGUUUUUAAACCGAUGUUUGUAUGCUUAAUAAAUCUCUCUUAAACUUC